ACGGCUCAGUAACACGUGGACAACCUACCCUCAGCACGGGGAUAAACCCGGGAAACUGGGUAUAAUACCCGAUAGUUCUGGGAUGCUGGAAUGCAUCCAGGACGAAAGCUCCGGCGACUGAGGAUGGGUCUGCGGCCUAUCAGGUAGUAGUGGGUGUAAUGUACCUACUAGCCUACGACGGGUACGGGUUGUGAGAGCAAGAGCCCGGAGAUGGAUUCUGAGACACGAAUCCAGGCCCUACGGGGUGCAGCAGGCGCGAAAACUUUACAAUGCUGGCAACAGCGAUAAGGGGACCUCGAGUGCCAGGAUACAAUCUUGGCUGUCGUAAUGCCUAAAAAGCAUUGCAUAGCAAGGGCCGGGCAAGACCGGUGCCAGCCGCCGCGGUAACACCGGCGGCUCGAGUGGUAACCGCUAUUAUUGGGUCUAAAGGGUCUGUAGCCGGCCGGAUAAGUCUCUUGGGAAAUCCAGCUGCUCAACAGUUGGGCUUUCAGGAGAUACUGUUCGGCUCGAGGCCGGGAGAGGUGAGAGGUACUUCAGGGGUAGGGGUGAAAUCUUGUAAUCCUUGAAGGACCACCAGUGGCGAAGGCGUCUCACCAGAACGGUCCUGACGGCAAGGGACGAAAGCUAGGGGCACGAACCGGAUUAGAUACCCGGGUAGUCCUAGCCGUAAACGAUACUCGCUAGGUGUCAGCCACGGUGCGACCGUGGUUGGUGCCGUAGGGAAGCCGUGAAGCGAGCCACCUGGGGAGUACGGCCGCAAGGCUGAAACUUAAAGGAAUUGGCGGGGGAGCAC
rnacentral:rRNA from 1 species